rnacentral:rRNA from 1 species
UAGGGAAUCUUCGGCAAUGGACGAAAGUCUGACCGAGCAACGCCGCGUGAGUGAAGAAGGUUUUCGGAUCGUAAAACUCUGUUGUUAGAGAAGAACAAGGACGUUAGUAACUGAACGUCCCCUGACGGUAUCUAACCAGAAAGCCACGGCUAACUACUUGCCAGCAGCCGCGGUAAUACGUAGGUGGCAAGCGUUGUCCGGAUUUAUUGGGCGUAAAGCGAGCGCAGGCGGUUUCUUAAGUCUGAUAUGAAAGCCCCCGGCUCAACCGGGGAGGGUCAUUGGGAACUGGGAGACUUGAGUGCAGAAGAGGAGAGUGGAAUUCCAUGUGUAGCGGUGAGAUGCGUAGAUAUAUGGAGGAACACCAGUGGCGAAGGCGGCGCUCGGGUCUGUAACUGACGCUGAGGCUCGAAAGCGUGGGGAGCAAACAGG